GGCUUAAUACAUGCAAGUCGAGGGGCAGCAUGAUUGUAGCAAUACAAUUGAUGGCGACCGGCAAACGGGUGCGGAACACGUACACAACCUUCCAAUAAGUGGGGAAUAGCCCAGAGAAAUUUGGAUUAAUACCCCGUAACAUAACGAUGUGGCAUCACAUUGUUAUUAUAGAUUUUUCGCUUAUUGAUGGGUGUGCGGCUGAUUAGAUAGUUGGCGGGGUAACGGCCCACCAAGUCUACGAUCAGUAGCUGAUGUGAGAGCAUGAUCAGCCACACGGGCACUGAGACACGGGCCCGACUCCUACGGGAGGCAGCAGUAAGGAAUAUUGGACAAUGGACGCAAGUCUGAUCCAGCCAUGCCGCGUGAAGGAUUAAGGUCCUCUGGAUUGUAAACUUC
rnacentral:rRNA from 1 species